rnacentral:tRNA from 3 species
GAAGAAGUACUCAAGAGGCUGAAGAGGUGCCCCUGCUAAGGGCAUAGGUCGCGAAAGCGGCGCGCGGGUUCAAAUCCCGCCUUCUUCGCCA